rfam:Felis catus c452401362.Contig1, whole genome shotgun sequence.
AAAGGACCUGUAUAAAACAAAAGAUGGCCAAGAAGUAGAAGGAAAAUUAAACUAAAGCCGGGAGUUCAGCUUUGCUUAA